rnacentral:rRNA from 1 species
AAGUAGGGGGCGAGCGUUGUCCGGAAUUACUGGGCGUAAAGGGUGCGUAGGUGGCCUUUUAAGUUGGAUGUGAAAUACCCGGGCUUAACUUGGGGGGUGCAUCUAAUACUGGAGGGAUAGAGUACAGGAGAGGAAAGCGGUAUUCCUAGUUGAGGGGUGAAAUGCGAAAAUAUGAGGAGGAACGCCAGGGGCGAAGGCGCCUAACUGGCGUGUGACUGACACUGCGGAUAGUAUGUGUGGAUUGUGAGAAG